rnacentral:rRNA from 1 species
CCAGACUCCUACGGGAGGCAGCAGUGAGGAAUAUUGGUCAAUGGGCGCGAGCCUGAACCAGCCAAGUAGCGUGCAGGAUGACGGCCCUAUGGGUUGUAAACUGCUUUUGUAUGGGGAUAAAGUCAAUCACGUGUGAUUGUUUGCAGGUACCAUACGAAUAAGGACCGGCUAAUUCCGUGCCAGCAGCCGCGGUAAUACGGAAGGUCCGGGCGUUAUCCGGAUUUAUUGGGUUUAAAGGGAGCGUAGGCCGGAGAUUAAGUGUGUUGUGAAAUGUAGACGCUCAACGUCUGACUUGCAGCGCAUACUGGUUUCCUUGAGUACGCACAACGUUGGCGGAAUUCGUCGUGUAGCGGUGAAAUGCUUAGAUAUGACGAAGAACUCCGAUUGCGAAGGCAGCUGACGGGAGCGCAACUGACGCUUAAGCUCGAAGGUGCGGGUAUCGAACAGGAUUAGAUACCCUGGUAGUCCGCACAGUAAACGAUGGAUGCCCGCUGUUGGUACCUGGUAUCAGCGGCUAAGCGAAAGCAUUAAGCAUCCCACCUGGGGAGUACGCCGGCAACGGUGAAACUCAAAGGAAUUGACGGGGGCCCGCACAAG